CCUACGGGGGGCUGCAGUGGGGAAUAUUGGACAAUGGGGGAAACCCUGAUCCAGCAAUGCCGCGUGUGUGAAGAAGGCCUGCGGGUUGUAAAGCACUUUCGGUUGGGAAGAAAAGUUUGGCGCCAAUACCGCCGAACCUUGACGUUACUGACAGAAGAAGCACCGGCUAACUCUGUGCCAGCAGCCGCGGUAAUACAGACGGUACAAGUGGGAGUCGGGCGUACGGGGCGGAACGCGUAAGUCGGUGGUCAAAUCCCCGGGCUUAACCUGGGAACUGCAUACGAUACUACAUGGCUAGAGUAUGGUAGAGGGAAGUGGAAUUUCCGGUGUAGCGGUGAAAUGCGUAGAUAUCGGAAGGAACACCAAUGGCGAAGGCAGCUUCCUGGACUAAUACUGACGCUGAGGCACGAAAGCGUGGGUAGCAAACAGGAUUAGAUACCCCAGUAGUC
rnacentral:rRNA from 1 species